ACAGAGAGGGAUUUCUGAGCCUCCCCAUUGGUUCACAGCGAGCAUGAGGCUCCACCCUCUCUAAGAGAGAGGGGGGAGAGAGAAAGAAAGAGGGAGGGGGGAAGUAGGGAGAGUGAAAGUGGAGAGGCAGGCAGGCAGACGUGUUGCAACAGAUGGCUUUACCAGUAGCGGCUCGGUGGCGGCUGUACCAAGGAACUCUGGGACGCUGUUAGACCCAGAACAGAGGUAGAGAAAAGGGAGGGAGGGGUGUAAGUCACAGCGCUGGAACAGAGCAAGAAAAAGAGACCGAGUGAGACUUCUUCUUCCUCCCCCUUCAGGCUACAAACUCACUGUCUUCCUCUGCAGACAGACAGGAAGACAGUGUCAGUGUGAGCACAAGUUUAGUAGCUGAAAGGAGCAACAGUUUUAUGGAGGAGAUGAAUGUGUGAUCUGAGCCUUCAUCCUCUUCCUCCUCUUCCUCCUCAUGCUCCUGCUCCGGGGUCACAGAGGAAAACACCUGCUGACAGCGAGGAGGUCCUGAGGGAGGAGACGCAGCAGGAGCAGUGCGGUAGCAGUAGGACUCCACUACUCUGAGUCUUGAGCUGAGAAACGUGACCUUCAAGUCUCAAGUGUGCGACUCUCUGCAGGUGGACUCGCACGCUUAGCUGACGACAUGACGCUCUAUUCCCGUGCUGGAUCCCAGCAGACACCAGCUUUCUCAGUGAAUAAAAUGUUUCAACAUUUCCAUGAGUCACUUCACAGCAUCACACACUUCUGUGUUGUGUCCUGUUCUCUGUACUGAAGCUGCAGUUCAGCUGAAGAACUGUAAUUAUGGUCUGUAACGGCGCUUAUUGAUGUUUGCUUUAUUGACGGUUCUAUUGACGUCUGAGCUUGUGUGGUCUGACUGACGGCCAUUUGUUGUGUCAGGACAUGACGGAGAUUUAUGGGAAGGGUGUGUGUGCGUGUGUGUGUGUGCGUGUGCGUGUGCGUGCGUGUUCAGGGGCUUUCCCUCUGCUCUGUACUGAACUGUUGAAGGUUUAAGGAUCUGUCUGCAGAUCUUUUAGCUUCUUAGUUUGUGACGAUGAAAAGAAAACUGGAGCUGUGUGUGUGUGUGUGUGUGUGUGUUCUCUCUGACUUUAUUUCCCGUGUUGUCGUUCUGUCUCUUCAGUAUUUGUACGCGUCAUGUGACUCCACAUGAGCUCAGACUUAUUUUUAUGAACAAGAAUGCUUUUCAUAAUUUAAAGUGCUUUUAGGCUCUUUGUCUAAGUAAUGAAUGUGUUUAGUGUCCAUGUUACUAUUUGUGCAGCCUAAAUAAUAAAGCAGUAAGAUAUUAAAAGUUUAGUAUUCAAGUGUUUGUAUCUGGUUAAAUAAAAAAUGUAUUGCCCAUGAAAUAAAUCAUUUAAAAAGCCUAUAUUCACUAAAGCUUUAUUAAUCUACAUAAAUACAA
rnacentral:lncRNA from 1 species